CCUACGGGUGGCAGCAGUGGGGAAUAUUGCGCAAUGGGCGAAAGCCUGACGCAGCGACGCCGCGUGAGGGAUGAAGGUCUUCGGAUCGUAAACCUCUGUCAGCAGGGAAGAACGGUCACUGUGCUAAUCAGCAGUGAAUUGACGGUACCUGCAAAGGAAGCACCGGCUAACUCCGUGCCAGCAGCCGCGGUAAUACGGAGGGUGCGAGCGUUAAUCGGAAUGACGGGGCGUAAAGCGCUCGUAGGCGGUAUGUCAAGUCAAGGGUGAAAUCCCCGCGCUCAACGUGGGAACUGCCUUUGAAACUGUCAAACUGGAGUGUGUGAGAGGAUAGUGGAAUUCCAGGUGUAGGAGUGAAAUCCGUAGAUAUCUGGAGGAACAUCAGUGGCGAAGGCGACUAUCUGGAACAUAACUGACGCUGAGGAGCGAAAGCGUGGGUAGCAAACAGGAUUAGAUACCCCUGUAGUC
rnacentral:rRNA from 1 species